UACAGAGGGUGCGAACGUUGUUCGGAAUUACUGGGCAUAAAGAGCACGUAGGCGGCACCGCAAGUGUGGGGUGAAAUCCUGGAGCUCAACUCCAGAACUGCCUUUGAUACUGAGAAGCUUGAGUCCGGGAGAGGUGAGUGGAACUGCGAGUGUAGAGGUGAAAUUCGUAGAUAUUCGCAAGAACACCAGUGGCGAAGGCGGCUCACUGGCCCGGUACUGACGCUGAGGUGCGAAAGCGUGGGGAGCAAACAGG
rnacentral:rRNA from 1 species